rnacentral:lncRNA from 11 species
GCAGGCGCAGCAGCGAAUGGCGGAGAGAGUAGGCGGGGCUAAGAGCCAAUGGGGAAAGUCGCCUGCGGGGAAGGCGGUGGCUGGUUCUACCUUCAAGUGCUGAAUUGGCGCCGAAGGCUGACAGAAGAUGAGAGAGGCAUUGAAAACGACCAGAAGUGGAACAACAGUAAAGAAGGUAGAGAGACGAUAUUUCGUGUAGGUUCUCCAAAGCUCUUGCCUUUUGCCAUUCUACUCAGAAAGGGAAUACAGUAGUUCCUUUUUUGAUAAAGAGUUAAGGUACAGUACCUGUGGAUGAGAUGGCCCAAGUUUUUUGGUUAAUUUUUUGUAUAAAUUUUCUAGACUUCUACAUGAGCAUAUAGAUAAACUGAAGUUUAUACUCUUUCAAAUGUUCUUUAAAUACACUGAGAACAAAAAACAUGGAAUAUAAUUUUAAAAUAACUAAGGUUCUAACAAAACUCCAUCCAUAUGCCAAGAUGGAGUGAUAUAGGUUGUGCUGUGGUAGAGGCCAUCAGCAAUGCUUCUGGGCUGGGCUGAGUAGCGCCUUGGUUGUCGGGCUAGAAAAAAGUACUCUCAGGCAAAAUGUAACAUUGGCCUCAUGCUUUUGUGAAAUUUGGUGGGCCUGUGUAGCCCCCCACAACUUCCUGUUCAUUUGACAUGAGAUUGAUUUAACCUACUUACCCUCCCUUUAGUUCUUCAUGCACCCACUUCAGUUAACAAGCUGGUUACACACCUGAUAGCUUCCUCAUCACUGUACCAUAGUUGUGUGCUUUCCCUGUAAUUUCUCCUACUACAGGCAUGGCAGAAAGGCCAUCACAUGCUACACCCAGCAUAGUUAUUUCGGUCAUUAAGGGUUUUUGAUUUCUGAGGAAUUUUGUGUGUGUGGCUGUUUUGUCACAGCUAGUGGGUAUGCUGGUGCAGAAGUAGAAUGUGAAGUAUUAUAAAUUUAUGGGGAGAUUACAUUUGAAUAAUCUGUUUUUUGUCAGAUUCCUAAGUUAUUAAAGACACCAUAAGCCUUUUUCAGAGUGACUGUUUUAAAGACCUAUAUCUAGAGUUAACGAUAGACAGUACAGGGCAGGGAUAGGCAAAGUGUGGUCCACAGGGUAUAUGUAUGGUCUGAUUCUCUCCCACCUUGAAAAAAUGUUGAAUCUCCAGAAAGGGACGUGGUGCCUACAGAAUUCCCCCCACAAAACGUAAUUCCUUCUUGGUUUUUAUUGGCCAAAAAGUACUUUUUUAAAAAAACUGGGAGAGACCAGCUAGGACCAUGGACUUUCAGAAGUUGCUCACGCUCAAUGAAGGGUCAGAUCGUGGAAAAUAUCAAGCUUACGUGUAUUAUUGCAGCUUAACAAAGUCACCUCUCAUUUCCCAUUUGCAGUUGACAUCAGAAAGACACUGUCUUCUUCCAAGUUAACUGUUCCCAUCUCUAUGACAUCUUUUUCAAAAUAAAUGAACAUUGAGAAUGAGCCAUGCUUCCUUGCUAUCUUUCUUUGGUGUUUCUGCCUCUGGCAUUUCAUAUAUACUAUAUAUAAUUAUAAAUAUUAAAAAAUCCAAUUGAUGCCAGUUUUUAAAGAUUUCAACGUUCUUUGCUAUUGGACAAACUAUUUCAUUGUUAUGUUUAGUUCUUUUUAAGAUCCUGUCAUUUCUUUUAAAAGCUUAUUCUUUCUGGACCACGUGAACUUCCUACAAAAUGUCACCUGUACAAUUCUGCUUUAAGUAUUACACAGAUGUGAAAACUACUAUUCUUGCAUAGUUCAGAAGCACACAAUAUUUAUGCAAUAACAUAAUGUCCUGUUAAAUCAGACAAUUUAAGGAUAUGUAUAAGAGACAAUGAAGAAGAAAAAAACCUCCUCCCUAAUUUAAUACCUUCUCCCCUUUUAUAAAUUUCUCCUCUCAAAUUUCUUCCACCAAAGAAUUUUGUUUUCAAAGCAUUUGGUAUUUAUUUGUGUUUAAUCUCAUUUUAAGAUAGUUUUCCUUUUUCAUUCAAAAGAAAAGAAGAUAAAGCAGACAAAAAGGAAAGGGGGAGAGAGAAAGAGUUAUCCUCUUUAUUCAUCUGAUGCUCCAGUUCUUAGUAAUAUAGAUGGUUUAAAAAUCCAUUUAUUUUAGUGGAAUUUACUGUCAAAUAUGUGUGAUUACACAAAAAAGUAUAAAAGAAUUAAGUUACUGGUAAAUAGGUACUGUAAGUGUGGUGAGGAUUAUGUUUUGUUCUAAAGGAUUCAGUUCGACUGGUGACUCUUCUACAGGCUAACCUCUCAUAAUUACUGCAUAGAAUUGGGGCUAUAAAAUAUUUAAGGGAACAAUAGGACCUUCUUAAAGCUAGUACAGCCCCUGGUGGGAGUAGAAAACAAGAUACUUGCCAUAUAUAGCUUUAUGGUGUCUUGUUGAAUAUUAUGAUGUUGUUGAUGAUGGCUCUGGAUGCAGUUAUGGCAAAUCUAAACUGCAGAUACUGCACAUAUUGCAACAAAAUUGCUGAUUUUUCAAAUAGGAAAUUAGAUAGAAUUUGGAUGCCAAGAGAGGUGGUGCUGUUCUUGUGAAAUGGAACAGUUAUAUAUCUUUCAUCUUUGACUCAUGGGCUCUGUCCUGUUAAUUCAGAAUACAGUUUGUUAUAAUAUACUUUGAUGUUAUAUUUCAGCAUGAUAGAACAUCUUGUUGCUUGUAUUGAUGAGUCUAUGAGAGGUGAAUUUCACCUUCAGUCUACUUUAGUUAAGUAUGAACACAAUCCAUAAGGUAGGGUUAGUGCACUGCAGCUCUUAACAGCACUAGCUGAUGAUCAGAAAUGAUAGAUGUUUGCCAGAAGGAAUACUGGAGAUUUGGUAAAGGGAAGAAACAGAGAGCGGGAAGGAAAAUAUUACAAAAUGCAAAACAACAAGUAGGAUUUGGACUACAAAAUUUAAGAUUAUACGUCACAUGUUGUUUAGUAUGAUUUAAAUAAUUGAUAAAAUUAAGAAAUAAAAGAAACUUAGAAAUAGAAGGUUGCAACUUGUGCUUUGGGUGGCAUGGACACUUGUGGUAUUAUGAGACUAUAGUGAAUGAAGGUUUUGACAAUUAGUAUGUGAGAUAAGCAUUUUUGAGAACAUGAACAAUGUUAUAAUGGAAGAUAGCAUUGCUUACUUAGGUGAUCCCUCGUUGUCUGAGUAUGAUUGUCUUCCAGGUGUAGUGUCCUGGCGGUGGAUACGUAGGUGACUGUGGAGCCAUAUUCUUGACCUGCAUGUUCUUCCACAAUGAGAUCAUCAAUUUCUAGGUGGAAGGCU